GAGGACUUUGGAGAGGUGCCUGCUGCUCUGGGUAAGCUUUGUGCUUGCUGAGAAGACUCUGAUUGCCUGUGUCUCUUUUGUUCUUGAAAACAACAGCAGCAGUUGAAAGCUGAACUUUGAAAGAUCAUUUCACAAGCAUUUGAAGGCAAGCCAUGUCCACAAAGAGCUGUGGUGCCAGCCCAGCUUGUCCUCUGUAUUGCAGCAGCCGGCACAGAUUUGUGCUGGUCCCACAAAACUAGUCCCAGUGAAGCCUGCUUGGAACAGACAGUGUUAAAGAUAUAUCAGAUGUGGUAGCAAAAGGAGACACACUAUGAACUUGGAGAUGACCUUUGGCAGGGAACUCUCUCUGUCUCUCUCGUUCUUUCUAAUAAAAAUAUAGUAACUGGUAGGCAUUUGGGAUACAAGGAAGCUGGAGCAUUUCAGGUGACUUGACCUGAAUUUAAUGGACUGCCACUAGCACUGAUGCAAAACCUCCAGUGAUAUCUGUGCCUGGCACCACAGCAGGCUAUGACCGGGUUGGCAUCAGGCUGGAUCCUGAUCUUGGCACAGAAAUUCCUCUAGAGGCAUGAGGGGUUACGGCAAGCUAACAUCAGCGUAAGAUCAGGGUUUAUGUGUGCUGUACAUACUAGAUGAGUUGUUAUAGGCACCUGUGAAAAAAAAAGGUCUUUGAAAAUUUAUCUAUUAUUUUCAACACUUUUUAAUUGCAGCAAGAAGAUACUGUUUCAACAGCCAGAUACUGCAGCUUCAGCUGUAGUUCUGCUUAUUUUCAUACAGCCAAAACAUUCAAGAGAAUGACCUAAUGAGAGCAAAGGGGGUUUUCUCCUUUUAAUAUAAUUUUAUUAUGCAAUAUAUGUGUGUGUGAAUAUAUCUUGUGUAAAUAUAUGCAUAUAUGUAUGUACAUCUGUUUGUUUAAAUAACGUGUUUUCCUUUGCUGUCCCUCGCCAACAUCAAUUUCUGUGCUGGCUUUGUAAAUAUGCUGUAGUGGCUGAUUCUUUUGCAUUCUUUGUGCUAUCUUUGCUUGUGCUGAAUAGCAGCCGACACUUUAAUUGGGAUGACUGAGCUGAGUGCGUUUGCCUUUGGAAUUGGACACUUUUCAAUGUUAAGAGAGGGUACCACAAACUGACUCUUCUGUCUUUAUCCUCAAUCAAAACUCCAUUAAAUCAGACCUGUAGCAAGGGACAUUCUCCAUUGCAUCAAAAUGCGUGGGAAAGGCUAGAGACUCACAGUUUUUAAGAUUAAUUAGAUCCUGAAAAGGAGAAUUAACUGAAGUUGUUUUCCCUAUCUUUUUUUCCUAUUUUUAAGUGCCUCUUUAAUUACCUUCAUCUCUGUUGGUCUAUUCAUAUACACUUUUCCCCUUAUAGGAAAAAUACUGUGUACUUUUGAGUUUAUUAAAAACCUUUUUGGUAGACAGAUUCUAAUAAUUCCUAUUUUAAACAAAAAUGUACAGUGCUGUUAACAUUCUGUUAAAAUUUGCGCAUCAGAUCUCCCUAUAUAUUAAUAUAAGCUGUGCAGUUAAUCUUUAUUUAUUUUUAACUGAAUGCUAGUAUUAUUCACUGCUUAGGCACUAAAUGAGAAUUUGGUUUUCAGCUGGCUAGCUUAUGUUUGGAAAAUAAAGGAGGGAAUAGUUAUGGGCAUGACCACUCAAAAAUUCUUUGGUGGGGGUGGCGGUUUCAGCAACCAAGGCUCUUUUCAGGCUGUGGACUCUGCUGUUGAUUCAAACAGGUAAAUGAUCUUCUUUUCAACUCUGUUUGGAAGGUUGCCUUUGGCUGCGUGAAAUUAUGCUUCUUGUAUCAAUAUAGGAACAAUAGUUAAGUGACCUGCCCAUGUGCCAGUAGAAAAAUCACUUCUAUGAUGCCAAAACAGCUCUCAAAGCCUGUCUAAUACUGCCAGCAGAAGUCUCUUGUAGGAGACCAUGCAAGGUUUGAGGCAGUAGAAAACUGUUGGCUGGAGUCUGUCUUAUAACUUCUUUUGCAUAUAUCUCCAAACUUCUUUCAUAUAUAUCCCCAAACUUCUUUCAUCUUUGUGUGGCUGAAAAUAGAGCUAUUUUUCUUGCUUACCCUUCUAAUGUCAGUAUACUUGAAGAAUGGAAUGGAAUGUAGGAGGGAGACAUCAUCUUGUUCUUGUACUCAAUUUUAGUUGAAUUGAUUUUGCAGAGGAGGAAAGUUGCAUACGUAGUCCUCCUCCCCAUUCCAGGUUUCCUUGUGAUACAUUCACUUCCAGCCCUUUCCCCCACAUCCCUUUGAAAAGUACUGUGUAUUCAGUUCCCUAAACCCUUAGCAAUAAUCCAGGUGUAUGAGGUAGCUUGAGUAAAUCUGAGAAAGGCACUAUAAUUUCAACAGUCAUAUAGCUCCUCAUUGUAAUGAAGUUCCUUGCUCCUUGUUAGAUUAAAGCAGUUUUCUGUGUCUACUGCUGCUGUAAAACACACUUCAGUCAUGAAUAAGAAAUGUUCUCUAUGGAUUGCAGAAUUUUCUUCUUGAUCCUUUUUUUUUCUUUCCUGUUCCUGUGAUCUCUUUCUUCUCAUCUUAGUUCUAGAUUUGAGAUCUGUUGUACUUAAUGUAAGAUGCCUGGCAAGAGCAGGACUGAACAGAGACUGACAAGAUAGAUAGACUUCGAUCAAUCAAGUUACAAAAAGAAGAGUAAUCAAACUAGAAGAGGCACAGAGGGAGGACUGCUGUGGGAAUGCAAAAGAAAAAUGGGGUGAAGUCCAUUUUAAGAACACAGUUUGAAGAUCCUGUAGUUAUCAGAAAUAAUCAAAUGCUGGAACUGGAAGCCAUGUCAGUGUGAACAGUGCUGAAACUAAUUGUCCUGGUGUGAUGCUGAGGUCAGCUGAUGUCUCCAUGGUGUUUAUGAGCUACUGCAUGCUACUGGCACUUUGCUUUGUUUCUUGGAAUAGAUUGAGGAUCUCUGCAGCAUAUGGCAGAAGGGUGGUCAUGGCAUUGUUCUCUCUUUUGUAUAUAUUGAGCUGUUGAAAACCAGAAGAUGCCAAUGCUUCUCUUGUUGCUACCACUACUAGAGCUGGAAGUUUCAUUUUACCAUUCUAGCCUAUGUUUUGCAACCACACAAAGAGGCAGACUGAAAGGCUCUUCUGAGCAUGUAAGACUUCAGUCCCCUGUAUUGUGUUGUGAUCAGCUUUGCUUUGGGUCCUUAGAGUCAAAUGCUAAGUAGCUACAAAGAAUUUGCAAACAGGGUCAGUGCAUGGUUCUGCUGCAGUGUUUCUUUCACACUAAAGCAUUUCACACCUGAUGUCAUCUAAAUGUUCUUCAACACACCCUCAUUUGACACAUCCUCAGGCAUCCGGGAACAUCUGGAAAGAUACUGAUUUCAGCUGACUUACAGUGCACUCUCAAAUCUUGGCAUUCUUGUUUGCAUAGGUUUGGGGUUCUGCCAUGUCAAAGCAGACAGGCAUCGGUUGACACAAACAGAUACAGAUUCACUAGAGGUACAAAGCAGUGAGGUAGAGGUAUUCAUAAUUAACUAACUAGUGGCUUUUAAUGGAAACUGAGCCAUGGAUUCCCCCUGUGGCUUUGAAACUGCCAACAAAACAAAGUGCCAGGCUUUUUUGACACUUACUGCAGUACUACAGUGCAGUGCCCAGUGCCAAGUAACCUUGGCUAUGGCUCAGAUGCCCCUUGUUCUAGACAUUGGAAAACACAGAAGAAGAUGGUCAUUGCCCCAAGUGUAACUAGCAAGUGAAACAGAGAUUCCUUAAUGUCAUCAAUAUCAGAGCAGCCUCCAAAGAGGACAGUCUCCUUAGAAAUAUAUACUUGUUUUUGCUGAUGUUGGAAGACAAAUUGUUUGGUUUCCAUACAAGGGAGUGUCUGAUCAUGAGUCACUUUUAUACAGAGAAAAUCAAGAUGCUUUAUGAAAUUGUUCAGUGUCAGAAGAAAGCCAUUUUAACAGAGCUUAGCUAGUUGCAGAUCUAAACCCAUCCUUUUCUGGCAUCUCCUGAAAGUAGUAUAUUACCUUGCUAAUAGGUAAAAUGUCAUCCAAGUAGAUGAGCUGUGAUAGGCAGCCAGGAUACCACAGCUAGGUCCCUCAAAUGUGUUUGUUGAGGCCAAAGCUCCUGGAAGGCAGAGUAAUAGAUGUGCUGUAUCCCUGUCUUCUGAGGCUACCACUUGCAGAUUGGAUAGACUGGAUCUGCCUUGCCUUUAUCAGAGUUAGCUCAAUGAAGAUAGAAUUUGCAGCAUGGGAGAAUUCAUCAUGUAAUUAAGUUACUGAAGUACAGAAUAAGCAAAGCAUUGGUAUUAUGUAGGUGUGGGUAAGAGUGUUGUGAGGCAAGACCCCAAGGCACUCACUGAAUCUGAGCAGUUUGCUAUACAGUUUAAAGAAAACUAAAGGUCCUAAUUUCUGUUUGAAGUUAUAGGCUGUUCCCAAUAUAUUAAAAUUCCUCCAUCAAAUUCUCUAGAAAUAGUUCCGCAUCCCUAGAACAUACCAUAGGACUUUGAUUGCUGCGUGAUCUUUUCAGAGAUCCUGAGGGAACUAGCACAUCUCCGUAAAAGCAUGUAAAGGCUGUUCCUAUACUGAGGCACAACUGGCUCUGCCUGCCAUCUUCUGUGAUAUAGAGGACUCUGGCUGUAACAAAAUCAAAGAAAUUCCUGCCGCAGAGGUGGGAAUGGGGAAGCAUGGUAUUGGGGGUACUACUAUUCCCCAUUAAGCUCCAACCUUGUCUUUUAUCACCAGUGAAAAUGUAUUGUCUUACAGGUGAGUAUCUCCAUCCUGAAGGCCUCCUUCACUCAAGGAGUGAAACAUCUAUGUUAUUACAGUAAUUUUUUCCUUUUAUAGUAGCUAACAAAGUUUUUUCAAUCCCCUUUCUUUCUAUUCAGACAUAUGAGGAUAUAUGGCAGGUGAAGGCUUUUGAAAUAGAGUACUAUAUACCCUGGAAACAUGGGGGAACUUUUGCAGGUGUAUGCACACACACCUCCUACACAUACAGCCUUGUUUUUGCCCCUAUGAAAAGAAACACUUUCCCAGAAUUUGCGGUCAGCGUGUCCUGUUUGCAUACAUCACACAUUCAGGGCAUCAAACUGUGAUCAGCAGUAUAAGGCUGGAGAGGCCAGAAACCUGCUUUCUGCUGCAGAACAUUGUGAUAGGAUGCAAGAAAACAAAAAACCCCUCUUGGAGACUGCUGAAGAGAUCUAUGCUAUACAGGUAGUGCACACCAUCCUCUCAGAGGCAACAGAAUGCUUAUGCAGUGGAUGAGAGCCACCUUUUAAGGUAGAUAGAGCCAAGCCAGGAUCUACCAGGAGCAUUUUGUGGUGUAUUUAUGUGUUCUGCUACUUCAUUAGCAGUGCUUGGUGUAACUUCAGUGCUCUGACCCUUGAUGGCCUGUGAGCAUGAGGCUUCUUCCAUUUUUUUGCCUUGUCUACUUCUUCCUGAUAAAGUGGCCUGUAGCAGACACCCACCAUCAUGUCACCUACCAUAAGCCGCCCUCUAAUUGUGACCCAUAACUUCCAGCUGGCCCAUCGUAUGUCCCAAGGCACAGCUCCAUGCACCUCAGUUGCUCUCUCUCCUUGAUGUCCUGGCCCAUCCUUCCUGAAGAGCUGGUUCCAUCCAUGGCAGCUGACCCACUGCCCCGAGCUAGUGCAUCUUGUUGCUGUGAUCCCAGCCCAGGACCUCUAACACCUCCUAUUUGUCCCUCUGCUGCAUGCCGUAGCAUUCAGGCACUUACUGGGAACUGUUAUGGACCACUGUGAACCACCAGCGCUAAGGCGUUGGAUCCUGCCCCAAGACCCCUGUCCCAGCAGCAGAGCAGGUGCAAUGGAAGCCUACCAGCCCCAUGAAGACUUCCUUGCACUUUCCAGUCGUAACAAACCACUUGACAUGGAGGGGCAGAUACCUCACUGAUGGCUCAGAGGCACCUGCCCCAGCACCUCAGUUACAACAUGCUGCACUUAGACGGCUAUGUGAGCUGAGCUGCAUUUUGGUGGUGCGUUUCCCAGGUGUACCAAGAGCACAGAAUUUAGCAAAACCAUGACCUGAACCCUCUGCAUAGCACUUACUAGCAGCGGGCUCAGCCUUUGGUGCUGCGUGGUGCAUACUAACGACUUGUUUUCUUUGUUCCAGGGCAUGGGAACUGCAUCUGUGCACGCUGGCAUCCUUGUCCGUUCCUCACGUGGUAUUUGGUAUUUGGAGCCUGCAGCACAGCACCUUUGCCAGGCACACUGACUGUCAGUGCUUGGGGCUUUGGGGGAGCCCACAAGGGACCUGCAGAGAUUUUGGUAGGUUACAGGUGAUCACUUUUACAAGGGGGGAAAAAAGAAGAAACUAUCACUUGUUCAGAAGACUGUUACAGGAUUGGUGAUAUGUAAGAUUUUGCUUUUCUUUUUCUUAUUGUGCAGAUACGUUUCCCAUAACUUCUCUUUUGCCUUGAGGUGAGACAGGUUGCCGACUAUGCUGGCAAUAUGAUGCUGUGGAGCUGGCAGCCUUUCUUUUUCACAGUCCCACGCUAAAUGCAGGGCAAGCAGGCAGGGGGAAAAAAUCUGAAAAGGGAGAAAGUUGUGCCACUCUGUUUUCCCUUCCCCCAUUUUCUGCCUGCUCUCUUCCUCAGGUCUUUUGCCAUAGUACAAAUGCAGGUAAAACCCUCUGAGUCUCAACUAGCAAAAUCAAGAGAACCACAGGCGCAGUAAGUACUUAUCAGCUCUAAUUUCUCUUUUAUCUCUCCCCCUAAUCCAGACAAGUCUUACAUGUUUUCUGCUCCAUUCUUUGGGUCAAGAACACGCUGGUUAAUAGCCAAUUAUUUCAUACCCUAAGGAAGUUUUGGGAAAGAAGUUCCUGAGAAGACAACUUGUUUUAGGAAAUCGGGCUAAUAUUCAGUAGAGAACACAGACCUGUUUCCCUGAAUGCUGGAGGAAUCAAACAAAAAGCAGCAGCAUCUUUGCUCACGGCUUCUGCCUUUAUAUGCUUGCUCUGUCAGGCUGAAAAGUUACUACAGGAACUGCCCUGGGCCACCAGUUGCAAAGCUGUCAAAAGAAUUUCCAGGCAUCUUACCACAGCUACAGGUCUGCAGCUUCUCUUCCUCAAGCUUUAAAGGAAAACACAAAGAAGGAAACAUGGGACAGCCUCCUGCUCCUCUCCCACCCCCCGUAAUGUCAUGAGUAUUUUCAACAAGCAAAACUGACCUGCACGUUCCACUCAUAGCUAAUCAUCAUAACGGAAACUACAGUGCAUUCAUCAUUUUCCUUGAAGUUUGCAGCACAAAGUAAUCGUGCAUGACCAAUUUUUGCUCUUGGAAGAAUUUUACCUUGUGGCUACAUUCUGUUUGAGAUGAUUUCAAGGAAUACUUUUAUCAUCUACAGGCUUUUCAAUGGUUCAACGGGGUUAUUGAACAAGCAAGCACUGACUGUGUAAUACUUAGAAUGUGAAAACCAAGUCAGAGUGAAAACCAUGCUGAUCAAAAUUACAGGAGGAUGACCCAGGAUUUUAAAUAAUACAGCAAGUACCUAGCAGCGUUGCAAUUACUGAAGACAAUUACCAGGCUAGUUCUAAGGAAAUACUUUCAGCUCAAGAUAGGUAACAAUAAGUUAUCAUGAAGGAAUUGCAUCUUUGCAGCAUGAAUCCAGCCCAGUUUGUUCCUCCUCACAGCACCUGUCAAGAAGAGUGCUUUGACUUUCCAGGAGACAAAAUGAAUUUCUUAGAUGCACCACUGAUAUCCCUCAGCAUUCUGCAGCCCAGCGCAUACAGCCUGGGGAAGUCUUGUAGAUCCUCCACAAAGCACUGACUCAAGGGAAGAAGACAUCUCUGAAUUCUGAGUUCGAAUAACCUGGGUCCAACCAGCAGGAGCUUUUUCUCUGUGAGAUUAAAUAUGUAAGAUUUUAUAACCCAGUUUAAACAUGUCCCAUGCAAAAUUCAGGAUUGGUUUUCAGUAUGUAAUUUUCCUUUAAUUUUUAAACAAGUUCUUGCAAUGAUGUUAAUUUUAUUAUCUGUAUUGAUGGAAUGAUGAAGAAAUCAAAAUACAAAAAUCUACAGAUAAAUUGAUAUUUAAUCAUUAAUCUAUUCCUGUCAAUGAAAUUUUAACCAAUCAUAAAUUUAAAUGUAAUCAGAACUAAAUCUGUCACUAUAUAAUUAGAUUGCUGAGUUGUGAGGUAGCAGAAAUCCAUUAUCUUUACAUAAACUUCUAGUUUCCAAGGCAAUUUAGUCUCUAAUCUCAUAAGAGCUGGCAGUUAAGUAAGCGUGUUUUUCUAUCAAGUUUAAUGUAGAGAAAAACAAAAUUCAAAAUGAAGGACAAAAAGAAAAUUAUGGAACAGUAACAAAAUUAAGUUAGUUCAAAAGUUUUUUUUUUAUUAAACAUAAAUUCUACGGGGAAAAAUAAUAAUACAAGAAUGUUUGGAAGAAAUUUUCAAUAUUAUUAGGACACUCCACUGAUGUAAGCGUUUUAAUCCAAUGCUUCUUAUCGUUAAUGAAUGGACUCUAUUAAUGGAGCCUCCAGAUACUUUCUUUCACUUUGCAAAUCUACUUACAGGAAGGUUUAGAAAUAAUGCAAAAGCAGCUUACAUGAAAAAGAAAUUAAAAGAACUGAUUUGGGAGGAAGGGAAAUAGACAACCCUCAUUUGCAUUUAAAGGAAAUCUAUUCCAUUGAUCUAGCUUUUAGCCAAACAAAAAGUAAAAAUAUAUAGAUUAGUAAAAAUAUAUAGAUUAUAGUUCUGCAAAUGGAGGGUUCAUUUUGAGCUACAUUGAUUUUCAAUUUAUGGAAUAGGUUGUGAUUAAAAAUAAAUAAACACCAUCCCAGCUCCCCGAAUUACGUAUUACUUUAAUGUAUUGAGUUUUUUUCCUUCAUGUGAAAGAGAGAAAAAACAACCAAACAAAAAUAAACAAACAAAAAACCCUAACAAACAAAAAAACCCAAAUAAAAUCCCCCCCCCAACAAACAAAGGUAAAAGCAGUUGUAUCUUUGCAAUGCAGGUAAAAAUUCUACUUUCCUCAUUCAUAUGUAAGGAGAAUUACCAUCUACUUACUGUUACUCUUUCACUGUACUUUUCCCAGUUCUCUACCUUUAGAAUUUGUAUUCCUUCCACAACCUUCAUUUCCAUCCCCAGUUUCUGCUCUCUAAUGUUUUUACUUACUUUGAAUCCAAAUGUGGGAUGCUUUGCAGGAUGGUUGAGUAUUAGAGAAUGCUAUAAGAAAUAUGAAACAAAUUUUUUUGUGUGUAAAUGUAAACUCGGAUACUAUACAAAAGUCUCAGAAAACUGCAGCUUACUGGUGUAAUAUUCAUCCCUCAAGAUGAUGAAUACUGACCAUCCCGCGGUUCAAGAGAGCUUAAGAAGGCAAAAGUGUAUAGAGGAAAUUAGAGAUAUAGUUCAUUAGAAAUGUUUUGUAAUGAAAAUGUGUCUCUUCAAUAUCAAAUCUCCUUGAUGUUACCAUUUCUCACCAAUCAGCUUGUUCAUCAACCAGGA